rnacentral:rRNA from 1 species
ACGUAGGGUGCGAGCGUUAAUCGGAAUUACUGGGCGUAAAGCGUGCGCAGGCGGCUUUGUAAGUCAGAUGUGAAAUCUCCCGGCUCAACUGGGGAAUUGCCUUUGAGACUGCGCGGCUAGAGUGUGGCAGAGGGGGGUAGAAUUCCACGUGUAGCAGUGAAAUGCGUAGAGAUGUGGAGGAAUACCGAUGGCGAAGGCAGCCCCCUGGGCCCUUACUGACGCUCAUGCACGAAAGCGUGGGGAGCAAACAG